GCCCGUCGCUCCUACCGAUUGGAUGACUCGGUGAAAUCACCGGAUGCUUACGAGCAGAAAGUGAUUAAAUCACGUUAUCUAGAGGAAGGAGAAGUCGUAACAAGGUAACGGUAGGUGAACCUGCCGUUGGAUCAGUUCUAGUUUUAAUAACUAACACCAACUUCUUUUAUUAAACAAAAACCAAUACAAAAUUAAAAACUAACUUCAUCAAAAAACCAAGUCUCUAAGCAAUGGAUGUCUUGGC
rnacentral:rRNA from 1 species